ensembl:lncRNA
GGAAAUAAUAAUUUUAAGAAAAAAUACUUGAGUAAAGCAUGAGAAGGGUAAUGAAGGAGUUUCCAGGGGAUAAAUUGGAGGUGGUAGAAAAAUUUGUGAAGAAAACUGAAAAUAGAUAAUGGGAAAUUUUUGAGUGGCAAAGAGAGAAAAAAGAUCAAAAUAAACACUUACGGAGAGAAAGAAGUGCAGGAAAGAGGGGUGACCUGGAGAGGAAUGCAAAGCGUCAUUUGAAUCAAAAGGGGACUGUGAAUGUCUCAGUGAAGGAAAAUGUACAGAAGCGAGAAGAAAGGAUUGAAACACCAGGAAUUAUGGAAAGAUAGGAUGUAAUCGGAAAUACAAGGUGGAAGAUAGAAUCGGAAAGAAACAGUGGAAAUCAAGAGUGAAUGCUGUCUUGGAAGGAUGUGGACAGUUUCAGUGGUUGGGAAGAUCACGAGAGAAUGGUGAGCUGUAAGUGCAGGCGAAUAUAUGGAAAGCAAUUCCUUGGACUAAUAUGGAGCCCAUACAGGUACAUGGACCUUGGACAAAGUCGGGAAGACCAACUGGAACAGAAAGAGAUGCAAUCAUUUUACCUAAAUUCAUUUAUUGACCCACAAGGUUUCCAGAAUACUGAGCUUGAAAAUUCGUUACAAGAAGGAUCAGAGAUGCAAACCAUGCCUUUGGUUUGAAGAAGCAUACAGACAAAAAUAAAAGAAAACAACACAGAAGUAACUUGUUUCUUCUUGCAAGGCAUUUUGAGAUCUGAAGGAUCAAACUCUCACCCAGAAACAUACACUUGAGCAUACAGAAGUUGUUUCAGACAGAAAAUAUACAUUGAUGUCAUCUCAGAAACUGGAAGGAAAGGAACCAGAGACUGCAAGAAUAAGCUGUGUUAGAGGCUCUUACAAAGAGGUCCAAUGGAAGGAAUAUUUGUUGGGAUGUGGUUCUGAAAUGGCUGUAUGAAAUCGCAGGGUUUCUGGAUGAUAUUUCAUGAAAUGGGUGAACUAAUCUAACAGCUUGCUUCUGACAAGUGGGCUUCCCCAGAAAGAAAGGGGCUGAAGGGGCCAGAGGAGGGCUCAGCUUUCUCAGCUGAGACUGAUGGUCAACCAUGGAUCAUCUCUUUUACUCCUGUGGCUACAUGGCAUUUCAUUGCUGUGAACAUCUGGACAGAACCUGCUGCAAAUCUUUUUCGAUUGCAACUCCAAUGAUUUGGGCAAAUGAGAAAAGGAAAACUGAAAAUAGAGGGGCUAGGAAGGCAGAAGUUUGCACUGACAAAGAAGAUCUAGCACUGCAGUUUACAUUUCUGUACUCUGCUACCAAGUAUUGUUUGCUUCUUAAUGGUUUUCUUUGUUGCAUACAGAUCUGACUGCUCUGCUCUGAAGUCUACCCUUCUGUGUACAUCUGAGAUGGUUCAGAGCUUGUUUAAUCAUUUGCAGCUCCCUGCUUGUUUGUAAGGAGAUGGGAAGCCAUAGUGAUGUCAAAAGGAUUUACUGAAAUACACAGACAGAGCAAACAAUCGACCCAAACCAAGAUAAUGUGACUGCAUGACCCCCAAACAAGCAAGAGUAGAGAUUAACAUUUAAAUUCAUACUUAAUUCUGUAACAACUAUAAAUAUCAUCUCAUCAAUUGCUAUCCCAAACUUUCAUUAGAGACAAAAUAAUCCAAAGGAUUAAGAGCUUCUAUCACAUUCCUCCACAUUCCCAAAUCCAUCAGCCAGCAUAGGAAGAAAUUCCAAUAUACAGCAAGUACAUACAGAGAUAAUCAGAGCUCAGUACAUGAAUAGAAGUAGCUUGGAUUUCCCAUGGCCUUAAGCAAAGAUAUUUCUCAAAGUAACCAUAAUAAGUAGCUGCAACACAUGCUUACAGUCUCCUCAAUACAACAGAUAGCAUGUUUUCAGACUCUCUGUGUUGAAAAUAAUAAUAAUUUUAAAAAAAAUCA